UACGUAGGUGGCAAGCGUUGUCCGGAUUUAUUGGGCGUAAAGCGCGCGUAGGCGGUCCGUUAAGUCGGAUGUGAAAAUCCGGGGCUCAACCCCGGACCUGCAUCCGAUACUGGCGGGCUGGAGGCAGGUAGGGGAGAUCGGAAUUCCUGGUGUAGCGGUGAAAUGCGCAGAUAUCAGGAGGAACACCGGUGGCGUAGGCGGAUCUCUGGGCCUGUCCUGACGCUCAGGCGCGAAAGCUAGGGGAGCAAACAGG
rnacentral:rRNA from 1 species